rnacentral:rRNA from 1 species
UACGGGGGGGGCAAGCGUUGUUCGGAAUUACUGGGCGUAAAGGGCUCGUAGGCGGCCAACUAAGUCAGACGUGAAAUCCCUCGGCUCAACCUGGGAACUGCAUCCGAGACUGCAUUGCUAGAGUAUGGGAGAGGGAAGCGGAAUUUCUGGUGUAGCAGUGAAAUGCGUAGAUAUCAGAAGGAACAUCAGUGGCGAAGGCGGCUUCCUGGACCAAUACUGACGAUCAGGUGCGAAAGCGUGGGGAGCAAACAGG